rnacentral:rRNA from 1 species
GACGAACGCUGGCGGCGUGCUUAACACAUGCAAGUCGAACGGAAAGGCCCUGCUUUUGUGGGGUGCUCGAGUGGCGAACGGGGGAGUAACACGUGAGUAACCUGCCCUUGACUUUGGGAUAACUUCAGGAAACUGGGGCUAAUACCGGAUAGGAUCUCCUGCUGCAUGGUGGGGGUUGGAAAGUUUCGGCGGUUGGGGAUGGACUCGCGGCUUAUCAGCUUGUUGGUGGGGUAGUGGCUUACCAAGGCUUUGACGGGUAGCCGGCCUGAGAGGGUGACCGGCCACAUUGGGACUGAGAUACGGCCCAGACUCCUACGGGAGGCAGCAGUGGGGAAUAUGGCACAAUGGGCGGAAGCCUGAUGCAGCAACGCCGCGUGCGGGAUGACGGCCUUCGGGUUGUAAACCGCUUUCGCCUGUGACGAAGCGUGAGUGACGGUAAUGGGUAAAGAAGCACCGGCUAACUACGUG